CUUGGUUUUUCUUUGUCUUUGUUUUGGUGCUCAUAAUUAAUCAAGCAACUAGUAGUACUACUUUCACUCCAUAGCUUAUAUGAUCUUUUUAAGGCUUUGGUUCUUGUUAUAUGAGCCAAAGACUUAUUAACACGGCCAUCCACGGCCCAUUGCCAAGUCUAGCUAUUGUAACUUGAUUAUGAGAAAGAAAAGGCACUUAUUAGUCACAACAAUCAAGGCAAUUUUUUCUUAAUAAGAGAUUGAGGAAACAAGAAUUAUGGAGUUUGAGAGUUUUUCUCACCAACCAAGAGAGUUAGAAAUGUUGCAGAAAGAACAUGAAGAAAAAACUCAAAGAAUUGAAGAGUUGAAGAGCAAAAUUAAAGACGCAAAACAUGAGUUAGAGAAGAAGAAGAAGGAAGAUGAUGGUGAGAAAAGGGAAAGUUUUAUGGGUCUUACUCAGAAUUACAACCAGCUGAGGCAAGAAUUUGAUAACAUGUGACAUUAAUUAGUUACUAUAUUUAGAUUAAGUUGUGAAGUUGCUGCUAAUUUAAGAUUAUGGGAACUUAAAUUGUUUAAGCUUACUAGUAGUGUCACAUAAUGUCAAUUCGAAAAUCUACUUGAUUAUGCAUUCAUUAAUGGUAUCUUUGUUUAA